rnacentral:lncRNA from 1 species
CUCCAGACACUGGUCUGAGUUUCUCAGAACCAUCUGCUGCACCUUCCCAGCCAGCCCAGGCACUGCCCUCCUGACAGUUUUUCUCCACAGAGAGAGAGAUGGAAUGGAGUUCAAGCAAGGAAAGUCAAGAUAGAUCAUAU